rnacentral:miRNA from 14 species
CAAGCUCGCAUCUCUGGGUCUA